rnacentral:rRNA from 1 species
UACGGAGGGUGCAAGCGUUAUCCGGAUUUACUGGGCGUAAAGGGCUCGUAGGCGGCCAACUAAGUCGGAUGUGAAAUCCCCAGGCUUAACCUGGGAACUGCAUCCGAUACUGGAUGGCUUGAAUCCGGGAGAGGGAUGCAGAAUUCCAGGUGUAGCGGUGAAAUGCGUAGAUAUCUGGAGGAAUACCGGUGGCGAAGGCGGCAUCCUGGACCGACAUUGACGCUGAUGAGCGAAAGCUAGGGGAGCAAACGGG